rnacentral:rRNA from 1 species
UACGUAGGGGGCAAGCGUUGUCCGGAUUUACUGGGCGUAAAGAGCGUGUAGGCGGCCAGGUAGGUCGGUUGUGAAAACUGGAGGCUCAACCUUCAGAGGUCGACCGAAACCAUCUGGCUAGAGUCCGGGAGAGGAGAGUGGAAUUCCUGGUGUAGCGGUGAAAUGCGCAGAUAUCAGGAAGAACACCCGUGGCGAAGGCAGGUCACUGGGCCGCAACUGACGCUGAGGAGCGAAAGCAUGGGGAGCGAACAGG